rnacentral:rRNA from 1 species
CGGACGGGUGAGUAUCGCGUAGGGAUUUAUCGUUGGGUGGGGGGAUAACCUUGGGAAACUGGGGCUAAUACCGCAUGACGCCUGAGGGCCAAAGUUGUAAUGGCGCCUGACGAGGAGCCUGCGUCCGAUUAGGUAGUUGGUUGGGUAAUGGCUGACCAAGCCUGCGAUCGGUAGCUGGUCUGAGAGGAUGAUCAGCCACACUGGGACUGAGACACGGCCCAG